rnacentral:rRNA from 1 species
GAUGAACGCUGGCGGCGUGCCUAAUACAUGCAAGUCGAGCGAACAGACGAGGAGCUUGCUCCUCUGACGUUAGCGGCGGACGGGUGAGUAACACGUGGAUAACCUACCAAUAAGACUGGGAUAACUUCGGGAAACCGGAGCUAAUACCGGAUAAUAUAUUGAACCGCAUGGUUCAAUAGUGAAAGACGGUUUUGCUGUCACUUAUAGAUGGAUCCGCGCCGCAUUAGCUAGUUGGUAAGGUAACGGCUUACCAAGGCAACGAUGCGUAGCCGACCUGAGAGGAUGAUCAGCCACACGGGAACUGAGACACGGCCAAGACGCAUAAGGGAGGAAGAAGUGGGGAAUCUUGGACAAGGGGAGAAAGCCGGAGGAAGCAAGACCGGGUGGGUGAAGAAGGUCUUCGGGUUUAAAAGCUCUUUUAUUGGGAAAGAAAAGAAGUAGAGUAAUAUCUGCCUGUCUUGACGGUACCUAAACAAAAAGCCACGGCUAACUUCGUG